rnacentral:rRNA from 1 species
CUACGGGGCGCAGCAGUGAGGAAUAUUGCACAAUGGGGGGAACCCUGAUGCAGCAACGCCGCGUGGAGGAUGACGCAUUUCGGUGUGUAAACUCCUUUUAUAUGUCAAGAAAAUGACGGUAGCAUAUGAAUAAGCACCGGCUAACUCCGUGCCAGCAGCCGCGGUAAUACGGAGGGUGCAAGCGUUACUCGGAAUUACUGGGCGUAAAGGACGCGUAGGCGGGUUGGAAAGUCAGGUGUGAAAUCCUACAGCUUAACUGUAGAACUGCACUUGAAACUUCUAAUCUAGAGUAUGGGAGGGGGAGAUGGAAUUAGUGGUGUAGGGGUAAAAUCCGUAGAUAUCACUAGGAAUACCUCAAGCGAAGUCGAUCUCCUGGAACAUUACUGAUGCUAAGGCGCGAAAGCGUGGGGAGCAAACAGGAUUAGAUACCCUUGUAGUC